UAGUCAUCGGUGUUGGUUAUUGGGGAGACUUUUGACAAAACAACGAAAUGCAAAAGUGAAGAAAUAUUGUUUUCUUUUGAAAAGAGGUGAAAAGAACGUAAAAUUAUGUCGAAGAGAGUGAAUUUCGCAGAGUUCGGCAUCGUCGAACCGCAGGCAAGACUGAAGCACCUUGCCAAUCAUGGGAAUCUAUCGGACAUUGACCUGAACAUCCCCAUUAGAAGAUACUACCGUUCGGGAAUGGAAAUGGUACGAAUGGCUCAUGUGUACCAUUCUGAAGGGAAUCUGGAGGAUGCCUACAUCCUCUACAUGAAAUUCAUGACACUCUUUAUUGAGAAAAUUAAAUCCCAUCCGGAAUACAAGAGUGUCCCAACCGCAACGAAGCAACAGAAUCAGGCAAAGCUGAAGGAAGUCCUUCCGGUGACGGAAAAACUGAAGAAAACUUUACUAGGGCGCUAUGAGAAGGAAUAUGCUCAAUUCCUGGCCAAUAAGGAAGCGGAACGUGCUCGAGAAGAGGCUGCAGCUCGUGAAAGAGCGAAAAAUAGUAUUCCCACUGCACCAGCAACUAGCCACACGGGAGCUACAUCAGUUGACUUCACCCCAAGUGCCCCAAGUUCGGAAUUACUCGACAGCAUUGUGUACCCCAAUGAUUUCCCCUCGGACCCCAAUAGAUCGAGUUCAACGGGCCUCAUACUGCCGGAUUCAGAGAAGAAGCCCGCAGGACGACCAACAUUUGAUCGAAACCUCAAACCCUCAUCUUCGACCCUUCUGGAUGGUGUUCUCCGGACUGUUGUGGUGCCCAUUGACACCAUGACGAGUUUCCUGGAUCUCGCUAAGAGUAAUACGCUGAAUAAUGUGGAAACCUGUGCAAUUCUCGCCGGACGACUGGCACACAAUCAACUCAUCCUCAGUCAUAUGAUACUCCCCAAGCAGAAGGGAACUUCUGACAGCUGCAAUACGAUGAAUGAAGAGGAAAUCUUCGAUGUGCAGGAUCAGCACAAUCUCAUCACACUCGGGUGGAUUCAUACCCAUCCAAGUCAGACGGCUUUCCUAUCAUCGGUGGAUUUGCACACUCAUUGCUCUUAUCAAAUGAUGAUGCCCGAAGCAUUGGCCAUCGUGUGUGCCCCCAAGUAUCAAGAAACUGGAUUUUUCUGCCUCACCCCAAACUACGGACUGGAAUACAUUGCCCAAUGUCGGCAGACGGGAUUUCAUCCGCAUCCCAAUGAUCCUCCGCUUUUUAUGGAAGCUCAGCAUAUAAGCCUAAGUGAUAAAUUGAAGAUCGAAGUUGUGGAUCUUCGGAGGUAGUUUAUCUCACAGAAUGAUCCUAAUUGAUUGAAGAGCUGAUAUGCAACAUAUUAAGUGCUUUGAAGGUCUCUUUGCUUUAAAAUGCAAGCCCAAGUGCUGAAGUUUUUAGGGGGAGCAACAAUGUCUAAUGAGAGAGUGUGGUUGAAAAUUCGUGAUGCAUUUUUAAUGAGGGGAUACCAAAGGUUUCCGAUGAAACUCUACCAUAGUUUAUUGAUUUCUGCAGCUACAUCGACAGGUGCGUCUCCACAGAGGGAAUACCUUUCUUAUGACGCCAAAAAAAAAGAGAGGAAUGGGGGGGAUUAUUUUAUGGAUUUCAAGGAGGGAAUAAUAAAUUAUUUCGAGUUACACAAAAAAAAAAAAAAAAAAAAAUUGAAGUACUCUGCGUUGAUACCACUGCU